UACAGAGGUCUCAAGCGUUGUUCGGAUUCAUUGGGCGUAAAGGGUGCGUAGGCGGCCCCGUAAGUCAGUGCUGAAAUAUCCCGGCUUAACCGGGAGGGUGGCAUUGAUACUGCGAGGCUUGAGUAAAGUUGAGGUAGGCGGAAUUGACGGUGUAGCGGUGAAAUGCUUAGAUAUCGUCAAGAACACCGAUAGUGUAGACAGCUUACUAAGCUUUAACUGACGCUGAGGCACGAAAGUGUGGGGAUCAAACAGG
rnacentral:rRNA from 1 species